rnacentral:rRNA from 1 species
GACGAACGCUGGCGGCGUGCUUAACACAUGCAAGUCGAACGGAAAGGCCCUGCUUUUGUUGGGUUCUCGUUUGGCGCACGCGUGAGUGACACGUGAGUAACCUGCCCCUGACUUUGUGAUAACUUCUGGAAACUGGGGCUAUUAUCGGGUAGGAUCUCCUGCUGCGUGGUGUGGGAUGGUAAGUUUCGGCGGUUUUGGAUGGACUCGCGGCUUAUCCGCUUGUUUGUGGGGUAGUGGCUGACCAAGGCUUUGACGGGUAGCCGGCCUGAGAGGGUGACCGGCCACAUUGGGACUGAGAGACGGACCAGACUCCUACGGGAGGCAGCAGUGGGGAAUAUUGCACAGUGGGCGGAAGCCUGAGGCAGCAACGCCGCGUGCGGGAUGACGGCCUUCGGGUUGUAAACCGCUUUCGCCUGUGACGAAGCGUGAGUGACGGUAAUGGGUAAAGAAGCACCGGCUAACUACGUG